rnacentral:rRNA from 1 species
UACGUAGGAGGCAAGCGUUGUCCGGAUUUACUGGGCGUAAAGAGCGUGUAGGCGGUUGAGCAAGUCUGCUGUGAAAUCUCCAGGCUCAACUUGGAGGGGUCAGUGGAAACUGCUUAACUUGAGGACGGUAGAGGGGGGUGGAAUUCCCGGUGUAGUGGUGAAAUGCGUAGAGAUCGGGAGGAACACCAGCGGCGAAGGCGGCCCCCUGGGCCGCUCCUGACGCUGAGACGCGAAAGCGUGGGGAGCGAACAGG